rnacentral:rRNA from 1 species
GAUCCAGAGAUUUCCGAAUGGGGAAACCCAGCAUGAGUUAUGUCAUGUUAUCGAUAUGUGAAUACAUAGCAUAUCAGAAGGCACACCCGGAGAACUGAAACAUCUUAGUACCCGGAGGAAGAGAAAGAAAAUUCGAUUCCCUUAGUAGCGGCGAGCGAAAUGGGAAGAGCCCAAACCAACAAGCUUGCUUGUUGGGGUUGUAGGACACUCUAUACGGAGUUACAAAGGACGACAUUAGACGAAUCAUCUGGAAAGAUGAAUCAAAGAAGGUAAUAAUCCUGUAGUCGAAAAUGUUGUCUCUCUUGAGUGGAUCCUGAGUACGACGGAGCACGUGAAAUUCCGUCGGAAUCUGGGAGGACCAUCUCCUAAGGCUAAAUACUCUCUAGUGACCGAUAGUGAACCAGUACCGUGAGGGAAAGGUGAAAAGCACCCCGGAAGGGGAGUGAAAUAGAACCUGAAACCGUGUGCUUACAAGUAGUCAGAGCCCGUUAAUGGGUGAUGGCGUGCCUUUUGUAGAAUGAACCGGCGAGUUACGAUUUGAUGCAAGGUUAAGCAGUAAAUGUGGAGCCGUAGCGAAAGCGAGUCUGAAUAGGGCGUUUAGUAUUUGGUCGUAGACCCGAAACCAGGUGAUCUACCCUUGGUCAGGUUGAAGUUCAGGUAACACUGAAUGGAGGACCGAACCGACUUACGUUGAAAAGUGAGCGGAUGAACUGAGGGUAGCGGAGAAAUUCCAAUCGAACCUGGAGAUAGCUGGUUCUCUCCGAAAUAGCUUUAGGGCUAGCCUCAAGUGAUGAUUAUUGGAGGUAGAGCACUGUUUGGACGAGGGGCCCCUCUCGGGUUACCGAAUUCAGACAAACUCCGAAUGCCAAUUAAUUUAACUUGGGAGUCAGAACAUGGGUGAUAAGGUCCGUGUUCGAAAGGGAAACAGCCCAGACCACCAGCUAAGGUCCCAAAAUAUAUGUUAAGUGGAAAAGGAUGUGGCGUUGCCCAGACAACUAGGAUGUUGGCUUAGAAGCAGCCAUCAUUUAAAGAGUGCGUAAUAGCUCACUAGUCGAGUGACACUGCGCCGAAAAUGUACCGGGGCUAAACAUAUUACCGAAGCUGUGGAUUGUCCUUUGGACAAUGGUAGGAGAGCGUUCUAAGGGCGUUGAAGCAUGAUCGUAAGGACAUGUGGAGCGCUUAGAAGUGAGAAUGCCGGUGUGAGUAGCGAAAGACGGGUGAGAAUCCCGUCCACCGAUUGACUAAGGUUUCCAGAGGAAGGCUCGUCCGCUCUGGGUUAGUCGGGUCCUAAGCUGAGGCCGACAGGCGUAGGCGAUGGAUAACAGGUUGAUAUUCCUGUACCACCUAUAAUCGUUUUA